UACGUAGGUGGCAAGCGUUGUCCGGAUUUAUUGGGCGUAAAGCGCGCGCAGGCGGUCCUUUAAGUCUGAUGUGAAAUCUUGCGGCUCAACCGCAAGCGGUCAUUGGAAACUGGGGGACUUUGAGUACAGAAGAGGAAAGCGGAAUUCCACGUGUAGCGGUGAAAUGCGUAGAGAUGUGGAGGAACACCAGUGGCGAAGGCGGCUUUCUGGUCUGUAACUGACGCUGAGGCGCGAAAGCUAGGGGAGCAAACGGG
rnacentral:rRNA from 1 species